GUGGCAAAAGUAGUGAGUUCUGGUUAACUGAGCAAGAUUAUACAUGCGCACAUGCAUAUGUUUUGCGUAAUUGUGACUAUUUUCGACCGUUUGAAAGUAUGUUGGACGCGCAAAUUCGGGAUGAAUAUCCAGAACUCUCUGAUGAUGAGGUCACCUCUAAAAGAGACGAAGAUUUUCAUUUAUGGAUUCGCCAAUACGUGGAAGCAACGAGA